GCAAGUCGAACGCUCUCUUCGGAGAGAGUGGCGAACGGGUGAGUAACACGUAGGUUACCUGCCCUCUGGUGGGGGAUAACCGAGGGAAACCUCGGCUAAUACCGCAUAUGGCCUUCGGGUCAAAGCCUUCGGGCGCCAGGGUAUGGGCCUGCGUCCCAUUAUUUAAUCCUAGUUGGUGGGGUAACGGCCUACCAAGGGUACGAUGGGUAGCUGGUCUGAGAGGAUGAUC
rnacentral:rRNA from 1 species